rnacentral:rRNA from 1 species
CUCAUUAAAUCAGUUAUAGUUUAUUUGAUGGUCUCUUUCAUUUUUUUUACCUACUUAGAUAACCGUGGUAAUUCUAGAGCUAAUACAUGCGCAAGGUCCCAAGCGCGGGGCGACUCCUCGUGGGUCGCUCGCAUGUGCAGCGGGAUGUAUUUAUUAGGUUAAAAACCAGCAUUCAAAACUUCACUGGUGAUUCAUAGUAACUCUUUCGGAUCGCAUUCAUG